CGGACGUCCCUUCCCUGUACCCAGCCGCCCAGGGUAGGGCCUGGGCUAGGGUGUUUUCAUACGCGUUACCUUUAUCUGGUGAGCUAGGCAGUGCGUUAGCUAACCCGGAAGUAAAUUCCAGUUUUAGAAUUCAAUCGGGUUACAUUUUUACUGGAGUAUGUUCUGGGGGAGAAGAGACCUGAUUCCUCCGUUCUAGAACGACAGCCCCGAGGUGGCAGGCGCUGGUCAGGGCCAGUGUCCGCGGCUCCUGGCGCAGAAGAGGAUCUCCGCGACUCCUCUUCGAAUGACUGGAUGGAGUCACUAGAAAGGGGCAUGCUGUGUCUGGACGCAGAGUCACUGAGUCCAGCAGGAAAAACGUGUACUUAUUCGUUCAUUCUUCAGUAUAUUCUGAGAGACCAUGAUGUGUGAGACAUGUAUUGGAAUCUGAAGGAUACAGAGACUACACAGCCAGGCCUGCUUUCAGGAGUUAACCUCGUUCCUCCCAGAGGGUGGACACAUUGGCUCUACCUCCUUCUAGAACUCCUCUGCCCAGAAAUGUCCACUUAAGCAUGAUCCUGGUCUCUCAGAGGACUCGCCAUCCGCCGGUACUGAAGCACAGCUCUUCUCAGAGGCCGGGGCAGAAACUUGGCUGUUGUCCUUGGUCAGUCUCCUCUGCACACCUGGUAUAUCCCAUCAGUCACCAGCCCUGCCAACUCUGCCUCCUGAAAUAGUUCUUUCCUCGGGCUUGAUCUCAUCGUUUCCAACGUGGUGAAGGCCACUACUACCACAGCUUGGUUCCCACAAUUGAAUACUAACUGCCUUUCAUUUUUACCCCCUUCAAAUCCAUUCUCCUUGCCUUUUAAAAAUGAAAAUCCGACUGUCAUACCUCUACCUAAAAUCCUCCAAAAGAUUCCCGCAGUUCUUUAACUGAAGAGCCAAUGCCCCACCAAACUCGCACAGAGUGGAGACCCCCAAAUUCUGUUUGGAAAGUCUGUGGAGUGGUUUUUGGCGUAGAAAACAGAAUGUGUCUGGAAGCUAUGUUUGCACCAUCUUAUGAACAACUACAUCAUAUUACUAUCCAAAAAACAAUGUUCCUCAAUAUGUACUUGUAUCGUGUGUGUGUGUGUGUGUACCUUGAUAGAGAUACAGGGAGGUGAGAAAUAGUAACGGUAAAAAUAUUCCCACUCUUAAUGGUUUCAUUCAGGAUGUAUUUUGGAAUUUUGGAAUUUAGUUCAAUGGACAAUAAUCAGGC